UCACUCAAAUUUGACACUUGUCUCGUGUUUGUGUUUAUGUUCGUUAUUUUCAUUGCCUAAUUAAUAAUUAUUUAUUGACAAUUUAUCUAUUUCUUCCGUAAAUUAUAGUAAACGAUCUGUUAUUGAUAUUGGGUUAUUAAGUAUAGUAACCGUGGCUACGAACGGCACGCCCCAAGACCCAUGCAAAACGUUCAGUUCUAAGAAAGAGCAGUUAAAAACCUUCAGAAUGUCAAGAUUCCGAUUCGGUCGACAGCACGACGGCUAUCGUCUAAUAUCGAAUGAUGACAGCGGAUUCUCCGACGCUCAGUUUGAAGUGCCUCCUCCAAAAAUACCCUGGAAAGCUAUCAGUUUGGCUGCCUUCUUGUUUGUAGUUGGAACAGUAUUGCUUAUAGCUGGCAGUCUGAUAGUAACAGGUCAUAUAGACUACAAGUACUCGGACAGACUGUGGCCAAUGAUAGUGUUGGGAGGCAUAAUGUUCCUGCCAGGAGCCUAUCAUAUUAGGAUAGCAUAUUAUGCAUACAAAGAGUACCCUGGGUACAGUUUCACUGACAUUCCUGAAUUUGAAUGAUAGGAUCACCAGUUACUUUCCUAUAGAUUUGCUUAUUUGAUUUUGGCCUGACUUUUAAAAGAUGUUUACUUAUUUAAAGUUAUAAGUGUAGAAUUUUUUAUAAAAUGGUUAAAUAAUUUUGGCUUCAUAUAGGUACUUUUAUUAUAAAUUUUAAUUAACUUUACAUUUAUAACAUGUUUACACUUAUUGAUGCAGUAGUACCUCCAUUUUAAACCAUAUUGUGGUUAUUAGAAAUACACAUUGGUAUUCAGUUUAGUUUCCUAUGUAGAUAUAAUGUAUUUUAUUUAGUCAUUGUUUUCCCAAUACACAUGUAAAUAAAAUAUUAAUGAUUUA